rnacentral:rRNA from 1 species
GACGAACGCUGGCGGCGUGCUUAACACAUGCAAGUCGAACGGAAAGGCCCUGCUUUUGUGGGGUGCUCGAGUGGCGAACGGGUGAGUAACACGUGAGUAACCUGCCCUUGACUUUGGGAUAACUUCAGGAAGCUGGGGCUAAUACCGGAUAGGAGCUCCUGCUGCAUGGUGGGGGUUGGAAAGUUUCGGCGGUUGGGGAUGGACUCGCGGCUUAUCAGCUUGUUGGUGGGGUAGUGGCUUACCAAGGCUUUGACGGGUAGCCGGCCUGAGAGGGUGACCGGCCCCAUUGGGACUGAGAUACGGCCCAGACUCCUACGGGAGGCAGCAGUGGGGAAUAUUGCACAAUGGGCGGAAGCCUGAUGCAGCAACGCCGCGUGCGGGAUGACGGCCUUCGGGUUGUAAACCGCUUUCGCCUGUGACGAAGCGUGAGUGACGGUAAUGGGUAAAGAAGCACCGGCUAACUACGUG